GAUGAAGAACGCAGCGAAAUGCGAUACGUAAUGUGAAUUGCAGAAUUCAGUGAAUCAUCGAAUCUUUGAACGCAUAUUGCGCUCUCUGGUAUUCCGGAGAGCAUGCUUGUUUGAGUAUCAGUAAACACCUCAACUCCAUAUCUUUUUUGAAAUGGGAGUUGGACUUGAGUGAUCCCAACGCUUUUCCUCACCGAAAAGUGGCGGGUUACUUGAAAUGCAGGUGCAGCUGGACUUUUCUCUGAGCUAUAAGCAUAUCUAUUUAGUCUGCCUAAAAAACAGAUUAUUACCUUUGCUGCAGCUAACAUAAAGGAGAUUAGUUCUUGUGCUGACUGAUGCAGGAUUCACAAAGACGGCUUCCGCCGACUUUGUAAACUCGAUCUCAAAUCAAGUAAGACUACCCGCUGAACUUAAGCAUAUCAAUAAGCGGAGGA
rnacentral:misc_RNA from 1 species